rnacentral:rRNA from 1 species
CAAGUCGAGGGGAAACGAUAUUGGAAGCUUGCUUCCGAUAGGCGUCGACCGGCGCACGGGUGAGUAACGCGUAUCCAACCUGCCCACCACUUGGGGAUAACCUUGCGAAAGUAAGACUAAUACCCAAUGACGUCUCUAGAAGACAUCUGAAAGGGAUUAAAGAUUUAUCGGUGAUGGAUGGGGAUGCGUCUGAUUAGCUUGUUGGCGGGGUAACGGCCCACCAAGGCGACGAUAUCUAGGGGUUCUGAGAGGAAGGUCCCCCACAUUGGAACUGAGACACGGUCCAAACUCC